CCUACGGGAGACAGCAGUGGGGAAUCUUCCGCAAUGGGCGAAAGCCUGACGGAGCAACGCCGCGUGAUCGAAUGAAGGCCUUCGGGUUGUAAAGAUCUGUUGACAGGGACGAAUAAGCCAUGCGAAUAGUUUGGUGUAUGACGGUACCUGUUUAGAACGCUCCGGCUAGAUACGUGCCAGCAGCCGCGGUAAUACGUAGGGGGCAAGCGUUGUCCGGAAUUACUGGGCGUAAAGGGCGCGUAGGUGGGUGCUUAAGUCAGGUGUGAAGACUCUGGGCUCAACCUGGAGACUGCACUUGAAACUGGGUAUCUUGAGGGCAGGAGAGGAAAGUGGAAUUCCUAGUGUAGCGGUGAAAGGCGUAGAUAUUAGGAGGAACACCAGUGGCGAAGGCGACUUUCUGGACUGUACCUGACGCUGAGGCGCGAAAGCGUGGGUAGCGAACGGGAUUAGAUACCCCUGUAGUC
rnacentral:rRNA from 1 species